rnacentral:rRNA from 1 species
GAUGAACGCUGGCGGCGUGCCUAAUACAUGCCAGUCGAGCGAACGGACGAGAAGCUUGCUUCUCUGAUGUUAGCGGCGGACGGGUGAGUAACACGUGUAUAACCUACCUAUAAGACUGGUAUAACUUCGGGAAACCGGAGCUAAUACCGGAUAAUAUUUUGAACCGCAUGGUUCAAAAGUGAAAGACGGUCUUGCUGUCACUUAUAGAUGGAUCCGCGCUGCAUUAGCUAGUUGGUAAGGUAACGGCUUACCAAGGCAACGAUGCAUAGCCGACCUGAGAGGGUGAUAGGCCACACUGGAACUGAGCCACGGUCAAGAGUCCUACGGGAGGCAGCAGUAGGGAAUGUUACGCAAUGGGCGAAAGCAUGACGGAGCAACGCGGAGUGAGUGAUGACGGUCUUCGGAUCGUAAAACUCUGUUAUUAGGGAAGAACAUAUGUGUAAGUAACUGUGCACAGCUUGACGGUACCUAAUAAGAAAGCCACGGCUAACUACGUG